rnacentral:rRNA from 1 species
GACGAACGCUGGCGGCGUGCCUAAUACAUGCAAGUCGAACGCUUCUUUCCUCCCGAGUGCUUGCACUCAAUUGGAAAGAGGAGUGGCGGACGGGUGAGUAACACGUGGGUAACCUACCCAUCAGAGGGGGAUAACACUUGGAAACAGGUGCUAAUACCGCAUAACAGUUUAUGCCGCAUGGCAUAAGAGUGAAAGGCGCUUUCGGGUGUCGCUGAUGGAUGGACCCGCGGUGCAUUAGCUAGUUGGUGAGGUAACGGCUCACCAAGGCCACGAUGCAUAGCCGACCUGAGAGGGUGAUCGGCCACACUGGGACUGAGACACGGCCCAGACUCCUACGGGAGGCAGCAGUAGGGAAUCUUCGGCAAUGGACGAAAGUCUGACCGAGCAACGCCGCGUGAGUGAAGAAGGUUUUCGGAUCGUAAAACUCUGUUGUUAGAGAAGAACAAGGACGCUAGUAACUGAACGUCCCCUGACGGUAUCUAACCAGAAAGCCACGGCUAACUACGUG